GAGAAAGUAAAGUCCGCUCUCUUUGGCUCCCUUAUUGGCAAUGUCUUGACAAUCUGAAGGAGAAGAAGAAACUUUUUAUUAAAUCCAGGAAACAAAAAAGGAAGGAAGGAAGAAACCACAAGGCAAUUUGUCUCUCUUAGCCUGGCAUUCAUUGUGGGGAAACAAUGUUUCCUGUGAGGACCUGUGAUUACAAACCUGUCUUCCCACAGGUGUAGUAUUCAAAUGUAUGCUAAUUUUUUUUUUUUCUGACAGGCAGAGUUGACAGUGAGAGAGAGAGACAGAGAGAAAGGUCUUCCUUUACUGUUGAUUCACCCUCCAGUGGCUGCUGCGUUGAUCCGAAGCCAGGAGCCAGGUGCAUCCUCCUGGUCUCCCAUGGGGUGCAGGGCCCAAGCACUUGGGCCAUCCUCCACUGCACUCCCUGGCCACAGCAGAGAGCUGGCCUGGAAGAAGGGCAACCGGGACAGAAUGCUGCACCCCGACUGGGACUAGAACCUUGUGUGCCGGCACUGCUAGGCGGAGGAUUAGCCUAGUGAGCCAUGGCAUCGGCCAAUGUAUGCUACUUUCUUUUUUAUUUAUUUAUUUAUUUUUUUUUUUUCUGACAGGCAGAGUGGACAGUGAGAGAGAGAGACAGAGAGAAAGGUCUUCCUUUGCCGUUGGUUCACCCUCCAAUGGCCGCCGCGGCUGGCGUGCUGCGGCCGGCGCUGAUCCGAUGGCAGGAGCCAGGAGCCAGGUGCUUUUCCUGGUCUCCCAUGGGGUUCAGGGCCCAAGCACUUGGGCCAUCCUCCACUGCACUCCUUGGCCACAGCAGAGGGCUGGCCUGGAAGAGGGGCAACCGGGACAGAAUCCGGCGCCCCAACCGACUAGAACCCGGUGUGCCGGCGCCGCUAGGCGGAGGAUUAGCCUAGUGAGCCGCGGCGCCGGCCAAUGUAUGCUACUUUCAUGACUGAGAAAAACCACAGUCCAAGCCAUUUACUUGGGAAUUUAUGUGGCAGGUUCAUGGCUGCUGGCUCCUUUAGGCGUCUGGCAGAGGCAGCUUCAAAUCCAGGGGUGGCAGAGGAGGCUGCUGCACAGAGAGAGACUCCCCAGGACUCAUAAUUCAGAAUCAAAAAUGUAGAAACACACAGAAGCAUGUGUGGGAUUCAGACAUCAGAAUGCUUUGAUGCAGAAUGAAGCAGAAUGUUAAAAAUAUAAUCAAAAAAAUGGAACAAAAACCUGAAUAAGAAGAAGGCCUAGACUUUAAUAGACAUCAGAUAAACCCUUAUUCAUUAAACAUAGAAUCAUUAAAAUGAUAACAUAAGGGAUGGAUGGAACAGCAGAGUCAGUAUAAUUAAUGGAAGAUUAACGUAUUAGAAAAUAGCUCUAAGAAAAUUUCCCGGAAGGCAGCCAUAGGCAGAGAUGGAAAAUGAAGGAGAAGUUAGAUAUCUGUGGAUAUAAUUAAGUGUUCAUCAGCUGUUCGUUACUACAACAAACACCUGAGAAGAGCUACCAGGAAGGAAGACGGUCGAUUCCAGCUCACAGUUUUGGAGGUUCCGUUCAAGACUGGGCAGCCUCAUUGGUCUGGCAUCUAAUGGGCAAGCCUGCUGACAGCUGCAAAGCAAAAGAGGAGGAAGGAGCACUUGGAGAGGCAGGGAAUGGAGAGAGGAGCCAGGCCCAACCCUCUUUGGGGCGCCAGCCUCCAAGAGCAAACCUCAGCGAUCCACUCUCAGACACCAUAGCCAGAUCACACCUACAUCCUUAGCCCAUCAGCCGUUAACAGAGGACACUGGGGCUUCAAUAUCUUCAUGUGAUUGGAAGCCAAGUCUUGUUCAAGCCACAACAAAUGAUGUCUAAGCCUCCAUCUAAUUAGAAUCCUCAAAGUAAAGAAUAAGAGAGGAACUAGGAUUUGAUAUAGCAGUUAAAACACCAGUUAGGAUGUCCAAUAUGAGAGUACCUGGGUUCAGUCCUGCUCUGACUCCUAACUCGAGCAUCUUGCUAAUGCAGUCCCUUGGAGAAAACAGUGAUGACUGAAGGGGUUGGGUUCCUGCCAACUACUUGAUUGAGACCUGGAUUGAGUUUCUGGCUCCUGGCUCCAGCCUCAGGCCAGUGCCAGCUGUUGCAGGUGUUUGGGGGAGUGAAGCAGUAGAUGUGAUGGGAGCGCUGUGUGCCUCUCAGAUACAUAAAUAAAUAAAUGACGUAAGAAUAAAAUAAAUAAAUAAAAUAAAGUAUAUUUAUAAAAGCAUUUUUGAAAAAUGUUUAAACAAAAGUGAAGGAAUACAGGAGAGGCAACACCCAAAAACAAUGGUAGAGAAAUAUUCAGGCUUCAUUAAUCAUAGGUAUCCUAAGAGUCAGGAAGGAAAAUCAAUCUUAUGCAGAUUAAACAAAAAGAAAUCCACACCAGAUAUAUCCCAGGGCAACUGUUUAAAAGAAAACGAAACAAAGCAAAAAUAAGAAGAAAGACAAAAAGAAACAAAAACCGAAAAAAAAAGAAAAAACAGGAAACAAGGUUAUAAGAACUUCCAAAGGGAAGGGAAAAGACCUGUAAUGUUUAAAGAUGGACUGUCAGACUCACAGCAUUCUCACUGGGAGAAGAGUUUCCAGGAAGCGAAACGGCUGUCAUUCUAGAAUUGUACGCCCAGAUACACUAGAAUUAUCAAGUGACGAUAGUGUGAAAGAACACUUCCCUUUCUGGGGGAAACGCUGAUCUAAAGCAUACAUGGAAUGUUUUCACCCGUAUCCUUUUAUGUCUGCAAGUACUGACAUGAACUUGAGACAUUGUACAGAGUGCUAUGUUGGCAAUUUUGUUUGUUUCAGUCUAAAGUUUUAAGGUUCCCUGGGUUAAAAACAAUGAAUGAUGACAUCCUGCUUCCCAGAGAGCGAGUCCAAUAAACAGGACCUUGGGACCCUGGUGCCCACAUUAUGCAGGUGGGACCUGCAUAGACGGUGCUACAGCGGUGGGAUCCUCAUUCUUGCUGAGGUCAUGGGAGGGACGCGUUUAUCACCUUGAGCUCAUCCUUUCUGUUUUACUUACUAAUGCACAGGGCUACUGCACAAUACAGUUUCAGAUGCCAAUUUACACAGUUUAGAACAUUAAAACAGAAUAAAUUGCUUUCCUGUUUGAGAUUUAAUAUGUCUAGGGUCCAGAAAGUCACUCAAGAAUUUCCAAUUGGGUCUUUAGAAGGGCGAUGCUCCAUGUGCAAAAUGAUAGAGCAUUUUUGGUUUUGGUGUUAAUCAAAUAAUUCAGCAAUGACAACGUAGAAUUGGCUUAUAAACUGAAACGUGAUGGCUGUUAACAGUUUCUGCACCUUUAUAUUCACUAUUUCCAGACUUUAUACUUAAUAAUGUGGAAGUUAUUAGAAUCAUAAGGUUUUUAGAAUUAUCCUUAUAGUUUGAGGAUCCAUCUGUAUGUUUGGGGACUGUUCUGCCUAUGUUGAAUCUUUAAAUAAAUACUAUUUUUUCCUAAAAUUAGGUGUAUUAACCCUUUCUGGGUGAAAUUCCCAACUCUUUGUGUGCCUCUGUUUAAUAUGUUAGUGGCUCGAGGUUCUCGCAGUAAAAUAUUCUCACACCAACCCAGGCACUGAAGGUGUUGGAGCCUCUUCCCUACGCAUGGAGAGAGAAUGAUGAGACUUGUGUUUCGCCAACAGAAGACCCAUCUUCCAAGCUUCUUGGAUCUCCCCGUGCACCCGUUUAGUCACCACCCCCGCACGAGGUUGCUCUUGGAAGCUGUGUUCUGUGAUUCAAGUCUGCGCUCGCCCCUGGGAGGCUGCCUCCACAGCCAGACUCAUCUAUAGGAGUCCCCAUCCCUCGGGGGCCAGCUGCUCCCACAGCAGACUCCGGCUUCCUUCUUUUCACAAUCGGUUUGUCUCCUUAGGGCCAAGCAUCUACUGGAACUGCUGCUGCUUCUCUUCUGCCUCACACGUUUGGUAAUCUUGGUUUUAGACGUAGUUAGCAAUAUUUUGAGCAAACUGCAUUGGAUGCAUAUUGAAUCGGCUCCCAGUAUUGAUCACCAUCUCCUCUUCACUGUGUGACCUUACGCUACAUAAUUUCUGGGGUUCUGCAUCCUCCUCUUUGCAUCCAUGUAGGUUAUUGUGAGGAUAAAGUGAAAGAAAGCCAACAAAACACUUAGCAUAGUGUCUACUUGGCAUUACAAAUAUGUUCAUUGUUAAAAGAAUUGAUGACUACCACGAAAAGGAAUAUUCAGGGAAUCUAAUAAGCUUAAAGCUGUGUCCCUAACUUGUUCUGAAGGCGAUGAGGAAGCUCCUUCUGCGAAAGCUACUUUUAAAUUGACAACUUCAUGCUGAGUAUAAUCUGUUUUAGGAAAAAAAAAAAGCAAAACAAAAGUUCUUUUUUUUUUUUUUUUAACAGGUAGAGUUAUAGACAGUGAGAGAGAGACAGAGAGAAAGGUCUUCCUUUACCGUUGGUUCACUCCCCAAAUGGCCGCCACGGCGCUGCGCCAGGCCACAGCAGAGAGCUGGACUGGAAGAGGAGCAACCGGGACUAGAACCUGGCACCUGUAUGGGAUGUCAGCGCCACAAGGUGGAGGAUUAACCAAGUGAGCCAUGGUGCCGGCCCCAUGUUCUUGUUUUCUUUGAUGCUCUAGGCCCAUGCUUGGAACCACUUCUCACUGGAUGCCGGGUCGCAGUGUCAGUUCACAGCAACAGGUGCAUGCAGACUGGGACUGUCCACCGCUGGGCCCUCAGGCCUAACACACAGCAGGCUUUGAAGAAACUCUUGAACAAGUAGAUGAGUUUGUUUUUCUGUAUAUAAAAUUAUUUUACUAGGUUAGCUUCUAGAAAUAAAGUAUGUCAAAGUUUAUGUACAUUUUACCUAAUUGCCUUGUAGAGGCUUGUGCCAAUUUAUACUUCCUGUAACCAGAAAUAUAAUUAUGUUUAUGCAAGCGUGCCUUACCAGUCCUGGGACUCUUCAUUUUCUUAAUAUGUUAAAUGUUUUUGGUAAGAAAUCAUUCUUGUUCUUUUGUUUCUGGGUUUUCAUCUAAUUUUCAUGAUUUGCUUAGUUUCGUUUGAUAAAUAAAACAUAAUUUUCAGUGUCUUUAUAAAAGUAAUGUAGGUUCAUUUUUAAAAGUAUUGUUAAUCAGCAAGAAGAAAAGAAACACAAUAAUUAUCCUACUCCACACUGCUAUAAUAAACAUUUUUUUUAAUUUAUUUUAUUUAUUUGAAAGACAGAAUUACAGAGGGAGAGAGAGCCAGAGAGAGAGAGAGAGAGAGAGAGGUCUUCCAUUAACUGGUUCAUUCCUCAAAUGGCCACAAUGGCCAGAGCUGAGCUGAUCUGAAGCCAGGAGCCAGGAGCCAGGAGCUUCUUCCAGGCCCCCGACAUGGGUGCAGGGGCCCAAGGACUUGGACCAUCUUCCACUGCUUUCCCAGGCCAUAGCAGAGAGCUGGAUCGGAAGUAGAACAGCCAGGACUUGAACCGGAUGCUGGCUGUGCAGGCCAAGGCUUUAACCUGCUGUGCCACAGCACUGGCUCCUCCAAUAAACAUUUUGAUAUAUAUCCUUUUAGCCAUCUUUAGUGGAUAUUUUAGAUUUUAAUCAUUAUUAUAUGAGUGUAAUGAAAAAUUGACUCCAUUUCUGAUGUUUGCUGACAGCUUCCGAGCCCCUCCCGUCAUCCUUUCCCUCUCUCUGCAUUUGGACAAGCUGCUAAGAAAGACAUACUCCUCCCUCCAAAACAGAGAAACCUUGGCCUACAUGUGGGAGUCCUCACCCCAGUGCCAUUUCUUAAUUGCAAUAAAUCCACGCUGGUCUCACUUCUCCACUCUCUCAGGCUGUGUUCUGACAUUCUUGGGGACCUUCCCUGUUCUCCCCAGCCAACGCCCUGUGUGUGUCAUACAGCUUUUCUGUCCAGUUGCUGGAUGUGUGGCGUCACCAUUAGUCUCCACAUAUGAAUCAAAUUCACAUGGUUGUGGGUGAGGAGGGACUUAGCACAUCUCCUCAUGGUAUCCACCCCAAUAAAGGUUAUGAACAUGAAUAGCUUAACAUACAAAAAAAACUCAAAGAAUGAGAAUAUACUGUGCAUACUGCCUAUUGAUAUGAUUUUCAUAUUUAAUAAUGUACUUUAACAACAACAUUAUUAAAUGUUUUUCACAAUACCAUAUUUACUGGCAGUAUAUUAUAGCAGUAUACAGUACACAUGAUCUAGCCAAAAUAUUAUUGCAUGUAGGACUGUAUGUUGGUUGCAUUUUCUUUUUUGCUACUUUACAUAAACUACUAUAGCUAGUGAAUAACCUUUUAGUCAAACCUUUGUGUCUAGUCUUGAACGAAUUCUUGGAGCCAAAUCCUUCUGAUUUUAAGUAGAAAUGUAUCAUGAGUGUAUUUCAGUACAGUAAACUUUUAUCUAGCUCUUGCCAUGCAUAGUUAUUGGGGAUACUGAAUACAAAAGACAUCAAACUUGCUUUUUAGAAGUCUUGAGCCAGCGCUGCGGCUCACUAGACUAAUCCUCCGCCUUGCAGCUUCAGCACACCGGGUUCUAGUCCCGGUCGGGGUGCCGGAUUCUGUCCCAGUUGCCCCUCUUCCAGGCCGGCUCUCUGCUGUGGCCAGGGAGUGCAGUGGAGGAUGGCCCAAGUGCUUGGACCCUGCACCCCAUGGGAGACCAGGAGAAGCACCUGGCUCCUGCCAUCGGAUCAGCGCGGUGCGCUGGCCGCAGCGCGCCAGCCGCGGCGGCCAUUGGAGGGUGAACCAAAGGCAAAGGAAGACCUUUCUCUCUGUCUCUCUCUCUCACUGUCCACUCUGCCUGUCAAAAAAUAAAAAUAAAAUAAAAUAAAAAGAAGUCUUGAUGUAUUAAGGGCU